UGGCCACACACCACUGUGCUGUGCUGGAGACCGGUCCUGCUGAUGGCUGGAGGACACUGACUCUGUGUCUCCCGGGGCUCCUCAGUGCCAGCACUCUGAGACUGCCUCCUGGGAUUAAAGAUGAGCCAUCCAUGGGGGCGUGGCUCGUGUGUGUCCCUCACCAGUACCUGAAGGAGCCUGACAGGGAGGGACCAUUUCACUACUCUACCAGGAAGAGAUCAUCAAGUGCUUUGUGAACAGGACUGUGUUGGUGGUCGCUGAAAACAACCAUAUCUCAGGCCACCCCAGCAUCCUUAGGCCCCUCCGUCCAUUCCCUCCUCAUCAUUCCUGCUUCCAGCUCCCAUGACAGUUCUCUUUAGAGCUGGGCAGUUGUCACCAAUGCUGUUGGUGCAACAAAAUAUAACUAAAUAAAUACUGAAUUUCUUUUUUUUUCAAGGUACUGCGGGAGGGACUGUGGAGACCACGAAGAUGGUAAAGAACACUUACUACUCUGAAAGGGGAGACAAUUCACGUAAAUUUGUGCUGCAAAGCAAGUCAAUGCACCAGAAUGUAUGGUAAGAAAAUUCCAGUAUUUUUUAGCAGCACGUAGAGAUAUUUUGAAAAAUGACCCAUCCAAUAACAGCGUCACCAACAGGAGGUGCUACAGAACGAGAGAAGGCGAAGGACACCGAAGGAACAUCCCCUCACUGCCUUGGCCUUCAGGACAUAACCCUGCCCAAGAAGAAAGCACCUAUAACAGGCUGGAGACAGGUCAAGCACAGACACCCCCUGUACCAGCUUUCUAAACCCUGGCCACAUUAACUAAUCAACUCGAGUGCUGGCUAUGUCGACAUUUAGACCACUGGCAGGAGCAAAAAAACUAAUUAGUGUUCCUGCCAAUGGGAGGACCUGGAGAACCAACUCUAGAAAAUAGAUGAAUGACAAUGUGUGGCAUCCAUGACCAAGAAAACAACGUCACUCUUCUCCUUUUGACCUCUGGCCACUCUGCCCCGAACCCAACCCUCUGUCCACAGCCAUCUGUCCAGCUGCUUGGUGACACAUCCGGGGAAGUGGAGGCGUCCAGCGCUCCUGAGAAGCAGCAGGUGCAGGGAGGGCACCCUGACCUUCAUGAGGGGCCUCCCUGGCCCAGGGGGAACAAGGGACGAGGAAUGGCGACGAGACAUCUGUGCAGGCAAACCCUUCUC